rnacentral:rRNA from 1 species
GACGAACGCUGGCGGCGUGCUUAAUACAUGCAAGUCUUAGGGGUUACUUGCCUUCGGGCAGGUGAUCACUGGCGCACGGGUGAGUAACACGUAAGUUAUCUGCCCUUGGGUCUGGCACAACUCCGGGAAACCGGGGCUAAUUCCAGAUGAUAUCGAAAGAUCAAAGUUCCGACGCCCAAGGAUGAGCUUGCGUCUGAUUAGCUUGUUGGCGGGGUAAAAGCCCACCAAGGCGACGAUCAGUAGCCGGUCUGAGAGGAUGAUCGGCCACAUUGGGACUGAGACACGGCCCAGACUCCUACGGGAGGCAGCAGUAAGGAAUAUUGCGCAAUGGACGAAGUCUGACGCAGCAACGCCGCGUGCAGGAUGAAGGCCCUUUGGGUCGUAAACUGCUGUAGC